rnacentral:rRNA from 1 species
AUUGAACGCUGGCGGAGUGCUUUACACAUGCAAGUCGAGCGGCAGCGCGGCCUUCGGGCUGGCGGCGAGCGGCGAACGGGUGAGUAAUGCAUCGGAACAUGCCCAGUCGUGGGGGAUAACACUUCGAAAGAAGUGCUAAUACCGCAUACGUCCUGAGGGGGAAAGCGGGGGAUCGCAAGACCUCGCGCGAUUGGAGUGGCCGAUGUCAGAUUAGCUAGUUGGUGGGGUAAAGGCCUACCAAGGCGACGAUCUGUAGCUGGUCUGAGAGGAUGAUCAGCCACACUGGGACUGAGACACGGCCCAGACUCCUACGGGAGGCAGCAGUGAGGAAUUUUGGACAAUGGGGGCAACCCUGAUCCAGCCAUUCCGCGUGAGUGAAGAAGGCCUUCGGGUUGUAAAGCUCUUUCGGCAGGAACGAAACGGUGGGCUCUAACAUAGUCCGCUAAUGACGGUACCUGAAGAAGAAGCACCGGCUAACUACGUG